rnacentral:rRNA from 1 species
GACGAACGCUGGCGGCGUGCUUAACACAUGCAAGUCGAACGGUAAGGCUCCAGCUUGCUGGGGUACACGAGUGGCGAACGGGUGAGUAACACGUGGGUGACCUGCCCUGCACUUCGGGAUAAGCCUGGGAAACUGGGUCUAAUACCGGAUAGGACUGCACCGUGAGGGUGUGGUGGAAAGUUUUUUCGGUGUGGGAUGGGCCCGCGGCCUAUCAGCUUGUUGGUGGGGUAAUGGCCUACCAAGGCGGCGACGGGUAGCCGGCCUGAGAGGGUGGACGGCCACAUUGGGACUGAGACACGGCCCAGACUCCUACGGGAGGCAGCAGUGGGGAAUAUUGCACAAUGGGCGGAAGCCUGAUGCAGCGACGCCGCGUGGGGGAUGACGGCCUUCGGGUUGUAAACUCCUUUCACCAUCGACGAAGGGUUUCUGACGGUAGAUGGAGAAGAAGCACCGGCUAACUACGUGCCAGCAGCCGCGGUAAUACGUAGGGUGCGAGCGUUGUCCGGAAUUACUGGGCGUAAAGAGCUCGUAGGUGGUUUGUCGCGUCGUCUGUGAAAUUCCGGGGCUUAACUCCGGGCGUGCAGGCGAUACGGGCAUAACUUGAGUACUGUAGGGGAGACUGGAAUUCCUGGUGUAGCGGUGAAAUGCGCAGAUAUCAGGAGGAACACCGGUGGCGAAGGCGGGUCUCUGGGCAGUAACUGACGCUGAGGAGCGAAAGCAUGGGGAGCGAACAGGAUUAGAUACCCUGGUAGUCCAUGCCGUAAACGGUGGGCGCUAGGUGUGGGUUUCCUUCCACGGGAUCCGUGCCGUAGCUAACGCAUUAAGCGCCCCGCCUGGGGAGUACGGCCGCAAGGCUAAAACUCAAAGGAAUUGACGGGGGCCCGCACAAGCGGCGGAGCAUGUGGAUUAAUUCGAUGCAACGCGAAGAACCUUACCUGGGCUUGACAUAUACAGGAUCGCGCCAGAGAUGGUGUUUCCCUUGUGGCUUGUAUACAGGUGGUGCAUGGUUGUCGUCAGCUCGUGUCGUGAGAUGUUGGGUUAAGUCCCGCAACGAGCGCAACCCUUGUCUUAUGUUGCCAGCACGUUGUGGUGGGGACUCGUAAGAAACUGCCGGGGUUAACUCGGAGGAAGGUGGGGAUGACGUCAAAUCAUCAUGCCCCUUAUGUCCAGGGCUUCACACAUGCUACAAUGGUCGGUACAGUGGGUUGCCAGUCCGUGAGGGCGAGCUAAUCCCGCAAAGCCGGUCUCAGUUCGGAUCGGGGUCUGCAACCCGACCCCGUGAAGUCGGAGUCGCUAGUAAUCGCAGAUCAGCAACGCUGCGGUGAAUACGUUCCCGGGCC